rnacentral:rRNA from 1 species
CACAGGGAGGUAGUGACAAUAUAUAACAAUACAGGGCUCUUCGAGUCUUGUAAUUGGAAUGAGUACAAUCUAAAUCCCUUAACGAGGAACAAUUGGAGGGAAAGUCUGGUGCCAGCAGCCGCGGUAAUUCCAGCUCCAAUAGCGUAUAUUAAAGUUGUUGCAGUUAAAAAGCUCGUAGUUGAAUUUUGGGCCUGGAAGGUUGGUCCACCUAACGGUGAGCACUUUCCAGCCAGGCCCCACCUUCUGUGGGGUCGUGCUGCUCGGUAACGGGUGGCACGGCUGUGCAGGACUUUUACUUUGAAAAAAUUAGAGUGUUCAAAGCAGGCAUUCGCUUGAAUACAUUAGCAUGGAAUAAUAGAAUAGGACUUUGGUUCUAUUUUGUUGGUUUCUAGGACCGAAGUAAUGAUUAAUAGGGAUAGUUGGGGGCAUUAGUAUUUAAUUGUCAGAGGUGAAAUUCUUGGAUUUAUGAAAGACUAACUUCUGCGAAAGCAUUUGCCAAGGAUGUUUUCAUUAAUCAAGGACGAAAGUUAGGGGAUCGAAGACGAUUAGAUACCGUCGUAGUCUUAACCAUAAACUAUGCCGACUCAGGAUCGGUGGUACGUCACUAUUGCGUCCAUCGGCACUGUAUGAGAAAUCAAAGUUUUUGGGUUCCGGGGGAAUUACGGCCGCAAGACUGAAACUUAAAGGAAUUGACGGAAGGGCACCACCAGGAGUGGAGCCUGCGGCUUAAUUUGACUCAACACGGGGAAACUCACCAGGCCAGAACAUGAGAAGGAUUGACAGAUUGAGAGCUCUUUCUUGAUUUUAUGGGUGGUGGUGCAUGGCCGUUCUUAGUUGGUGGAGUGAUUUGUCUGGUUAAUUCCGAUAACGAACGAGACCUUAACCUGCUAACUAGUCACGCCAAGUCUUGCUUGGUGGCCGACUUCUUAGAGGGACUGUUGCUGUUUAAGCAAUGGAAGUUUGAGGCAAUAACAGGUCUGUGAUGCCCUUAGAUGUUCUGGGCCGCACGCGCGCUACACUGAUGAAGUCAGCGAGUAUUUCCUUGUCCGAGAGGGCCGGGUAAUCUUUUGAAACUUCAUCGUGCUGGGGAUAGACCUUUGCAAUUAUUGGUCUUCAACGAGGAAUUCCUAGUAAGCGUGAGUCAUCAGCUCGCGUUGAUUACGUCCCUGCCCUUUGUACACACCGCCCGUCGCUACUACCGAUU